rnacentral:rRNA from 1 species
ACGAACGCUGGCGGCAUGCCUAACACAUGCAAGUCGAACGAGACCUUCGGGUCUAGUGGCGCACGGGUGCGUAACGCGUGGGAACCUGCCCUUAGGUUCGGAAUAACUCCCCGAAAGGGGUGCUAAUACCGGAUAAUGUCUUCGGACCAAAGAUUUAUCGCCUUUGGAUGGGCCCGCGUUGGAUUAGCUAGUUGGUAGGGUAAAAGCCUACCAAGGCGACGAUCCAUAGCUGGUCUGAGAGGAUGAUCAGCCACACUGGGACUGAGACACGGCCCAGACUCCUCCGGGAGGGAGCAGUGGGGAAUAUGGGACAAGGGGCGAAAGCCUGAUCCAGCAAUGCCGGGUGAGUGAUGAAGGCCUUAGGGUUGUAAAGCUCUUUUACCCGGGAUUAUAAUGACAGUACCGGGAGAAUAAGCUCCGGCUAACUCCGU